UACAGAGGGGGCAAGCGUUGUUCGGAAUUACUGGGCGUAAAGGGCGCGUAGGCGGCCUGUUAAGUCGAACGUGAAAUCCCCGGGCUCAACCCGGGAACUGCGUCCGAAACUGGCAGGCUCGAAUUCGGGAGAGGGAUGCGGAAUUCCAGGUGUAGCGGUGAAAUGCGUAGAUAUCAGGAGGAAUACCGAUGGCGAAGGCAGGUCUCUGGGCUGACACUGACGCUCAUGCACGAAAGCGUGGGGAGCAAACAGG
rnacentral:rRNA from 1 species